UUAUUAUUAAAUAAGUUAGUGGCGUAAGGGUGCGAAGUGUAGUUGUUUGCUAUCUGUAAAUUUGGGAUAAAAAGCCAAGAUAUUGAAGUAUAACUUUAUAUUUUUAAAAAUUGAUUUGUUUCAGAUGUACGGCUAUCAGAUUAUGAAAAACGGUAGUAGGUGGGUUAAUGCUCACAUAGCCUGCGAUCUGCGGCUGAUUUUGAAGAAUGCACAGCCACAGCGAAAUUGAGAUACGGGUCGAACCUAUAUAGGGCAGCAGUUUGGAAUUUUGGGCAAUGAGUGAAAACUUGACCCAGCGAGAAUUUUAAUCUAGGAAGACAUUAGAUUGGACUUUUUAAUUUGUUGCAAAGAACAAUUGGAUCUUUUGUAGUGACAAGUACUUGCUAAGUCUGUGCCAGCAGCCGCGGCAAGACAGACAGUACAAGCGUUAUUCGGAUUGGCUGGGCGUAAAGCGUUUUAAGAUGGUUACUAAAACUGUAAAAAGAAAAUCUGGUAUUACUUCAGGAUAUUUUACAAAGAUUGUUUAACUAAGAGUUGUUGAGAGGUUUAAAGAAUUUUAGCGAGUAUGGGUUAAAAUCCGAACAAUACGAGAAGGAAUACCUUAUGUGAAAACAUUUUUCUUGCUUCAACUGACGUUCAUAAAAACGAGUGCUCGGGUAUAAAGCAGGGAUAGAUAUCCUGGUAAUUCCGCGCUGUAAACGAUGAAUAUUAGGGAGCAAAGUGUGGUAUAUUUUUAAUAUUUAUAUCGAUCCCAAAAGCUAACGCAUUAAAUAUUCCGCCGGGGUACUACGAUCGCAAGGCUGAAACUC
rnacentral:rRNA from 1 species